UACGUAGGGGGCAAGCGUUGUCCGGAAUCAUUGGGCGUAAAGCGCGUGUAGGCGGCCCGGUAAGUCCGCUGUGAAAGUCCAGGGCUCAACCCUGGGAUGCCGGUGGAUACUGUCGGGCUCGAGUCCGGAAGAGGCGAGUGGAAUUCCUGGUGUAGCGGUGAAAUGCGCAGAUAUCAGGAGGAACACCGGUGGCGAAGGCGGAUCUCUGGGCCUUGCCUGACGCUGAGGCGCGAAAGCUAGGGGAGCGAACAGG
rnacentral:rRNA from 1 species